UUAACCUAUUCUCAAACUUUAAAUGGGUAAGAACCUUAACUUUCUCGAUAUGAAGUUUAAGGUUAUGAUAUAAUGUGCCCAGUGGGCCACUUUUGGUAAGCAGAACUGGCGCUGUGGGAUGAACCAAACGUAAUGUUACGGUGCCCAAAUUAACAACUCAUGGAAAAACCAUGAAAGGCGUUGGUUGCUUAAAACAGCAGGACGGUGAUAAUGGAAGUCGAAAUCCGCUAAGGAGUGUGUAACAGAGCACCUGCCGAAGCAACUAGCCCUUAAAAUGGAUGGCGCUUAAGUUGUAUACCUAUUCAUUACCGCUAAAGUAGAUGAUUUAUAUUACUCGUGAUAUAAAUUUUAAAACUUUAGUGAGUAGGAAGG
rnacentral:ncRNA from 1 species